AUCUAUGGCAGUGCCACCUUGAACAAAGCCAGAUGUCUAAUCUUGGAAGCUAAGCAGGGUCGGGCCUAGUUAAUACUUGGAUAGGAGACCACCUAGGAAGACCAGGUGAUGUAGGCA
rnacentral:rRNA from 1 species